rnacentral:rRNA from 1 species
AGAUUGAACGCUGGCGGCAGGCCUAACACAUGCAAGUCGAGCGGCAGCUCGGGUACUUGUACCUGGUGGCGAGCGGCGGACGGGUGAGUAAUGCCUAGGAAUCUGCCUGAUAGUGGGGGAUAACGCUCGGAAACGGACGCUAAUACCGCAUACGUCCUACGGGAGAAAGCAGGGGACCUUCGGGCCUUGCGCUAUCAGAUGAGCCUAGGUCGGAUUAGCUAGUUGGUGGGUAAUGGCUCACCAAGGCGACGAUCCGUAACUGGUCUGAGAGGAUGAUCAGUCACACUGGAACUGAGACACGGUCCAGACUCCGUACGGGAGCAGCGAGUGGGGAAUAGUUGGACAAGUGGGACGAAAGCCUGAUCCGAGCCAUCGCCGCGUGUGUGAGGAAGUUCUUCGGAAUU